AAAAUCUGGAUUUCAGCGUUACGUAAUUUGUGUGCGACGCUCAAACACUCUUGCGAUACGAUACGGUUUCCAAAGAAUCCGAUUUCGGGGAAACUGUGGAUGGACUUGUGCUGUUUGCAGGCAUACUAUUCUACUACCGGAAACACCCGAUUUUGCAGUCUUCAUGUGAAUUACGAGCUGGAUCUGUACGUGGCCGCAGCCAACGGGAAGCUGAGAACUAUACCUGGUGCACCUCAAGGUUUCCAAUGCCGAACUUAAAUGAAACAAACCAGCAUGGAAGAGAGACUGCUUCUGACGUUGGCACUGCUGCUGCUUCUGGACUACUACUGCUGCUGGGGCUACUGCUGCUCCUGGGAUUACUGUUGUUGAUGGGACUCUUGCUACUGCUGCUGGCAUUGCUGCCGCCCAUAAAUUGUUUUCUCCAAGC